GAUGAAGAAGUAGCGAAAUGCGAUACGUAAUGUGAAUUGCAGAAUUCAGUGAAUCAUCGAGUCUUUGAACGCACAUUGCGCCCCCUGGUAUUCCGGGGGGCAUGCCUGCCCGAGCGUCAUUGCUGCCCUCAAGCACGGCUUGUGUGUUGGGCCUCCGUCCUCCUCCCGGGGGACGGGCCCGAAAGGCAGCGGCGGCACCGCGUCCGGUCCUCGAGCGUAUGGGGCUUCGUCACCCGCUCUUGUAGGCCCGGCCGGCGCUUGCCGACACAUCAAUCUUUUUUCCAGGUUGACCUCGGAUCAGGUAGGGAUACCCGCUGAACUUAAGCAUAUCAAUAAGCGGAGGA
rnacentral:misc_RNA from 1 species